GCGCCCAUAGCUCAGUUGGUAGAGCAGUCGCCUCUUAAGCGAACGGUCCCAGGUCCGAAUCCUGGUGGGCGCA
rnacentral:tRNA from 1 species